rfam:Clostridium cadaveris strain NLAE-zl-G419 genome assembly, contig: Ga0070261_106
UAAUAUUAAAUAAAAUAAAUUCGUAUAUGCUUAAUGAUAUGGGUUAAGCGUUUCUACUAGGAGCCGAAAACUUCCUUGCUACGAAUAUGUGAUUAGUAAUA